rnacentral:rRNA from 1 species
UCGCCUGUUUUAACAAAAACAUGUCCUUUUGAAAUUUUAUUUAAGGUCUGACCUGCCCUAUGAGAAAUUAAAUGGCCGCGGUAUUUUAACCGUGCAAAGGUAGCAUAGUCACUUGUCUCUUAAUUGGAGGCUUGAAUGAAGGGUUGGACGAGAUAUAAACUUUCUUUGUUGUAAUUAGUUGAAUUUGACUUUUGAGUCAAAAGGCUUAAAUUUAUUUAUAGGACGAGAAGACCCUAUAGAAUUUUAUAUUUUUAUAUCAAUAAUUUAUUUGUUUAUAAUUAGAUUUUUUAUAUAAAAAUAUUUUGUUGGGGCGAUGGGAAGAUUUUUUUAACUCUUUUUUAUUUAAUACAUUGAUAUAUGUUUUUUUGAUCCUUUUUUAGAGAUUAAAAGAUUAAAUUACCUUAGGGAUAACAGCGUAAUUCUUUUGGAGAGUUCUUAUCGAUAAAGGAGUUUGCGACCUCGAUGUGGAUUAAAA